rnacentral:hammerhead_ribozyme from 1 species
AUUCAACUGACGAGUCCCAAAUAGGACGAAACGCGCAUCAAACUGGAU